rnacentral:rRNA from 1 species
GGGUGCGAUCAUACGAGCACUAAUGCACCGGAUCCCAUAAGAACUCCGUAGUUAAAUGAUCUUGGGCGAGAGUAGUACUAAGAUGGGUGACCUCUUGGGAAGUCCUCGUGUUGCACCCC